CAGAGCGUAGCUUAAAAAAUAAUAGUAUCUCCCUUACACCGAGAAGACACCCGUGCAAAUCGGGUCGCACUGA
rnacentral:tRNA from 1 species